rnacentral:rRNA from 1 species
GACGAACGCUGGCGGCGUGCCUAAUACAUGCAAGUCGAACGCUGAAGGAGGAGCUUGCUUCUCUGGAUGAGUUGCGAACGGGUGAGUAACGCGUAGGUAACCUGCCUGGUAGCGGGGGAUAACUAUUGGAAACGAUAGCUAAUACCGCAUAAGAGUAGAUGUUGCAUGACAUUUGCUUAAAAGGUGCAAUUGCAUCACUACCAGAUGGACCUGCGUUGUAUUAGCUAGUUGGUGGGGUAACGGCUUACCAAGGCGACGAUACAUAGCCGACCUGAGAGGGGGAACGGCGACACUGGGAAUGAGACACGGCCCAGACUCCUACGGGAGGCAGCAGUAGGGAAUCGUCGGCAAUGGACGGAAGUCUGACCGAGCAACGCCGCGUGAGGGAAGAAGGUUUUCGGAUCGUAAAGCUCUGUUGUAAGAGAAGAACGAGUGUGAGAGUGGAAAGUUCACACUGUGACGGUAUCUGAACAGAAAGGGACGGCUAACUACGUG